UAGCAACUAGCCGCUCUGUUUGUCCUGCACUUUUUCCUCGAUAACGAGUACAAUGUACAAGCAACAACCGUGUCAAACAUCAACCUGUAUUGUCUCUUUCUAUUUUCUACCUAUUAUCCCUGGCAUCCCUUUCGAUUUGUCCGACGCAAACAGAAACGAUGUCGUGCAUACACGUGAAUGUUUGCGCCACGUUCACGGAUCCUUAAAAAAUUCUUACUACCCUAUUGAUGCAAUCACAGUGACGACGCGACGAUUGUUUGCGGAGUAUUAAUCGAUGCUAAUCCAAUUAAAAGUGGAAGUCGUUGCGAGUCGGCGUCUCCCCUCUCGUUUCUCGUUAUCAGCCGAUGGAAAUACAAGAGGGACGAGAGUUUUCUGCAGAAGGAUGCUGCAAUUAGUCGUCGUUUCUCCCGUUGCCAACUUUCAACGUCGAACCUCUUUUCUUCAUCCUCCUUCUCCUGUUUCAUUCCCUAUCCUCUUCCAUUACUUCUCCUCCAUCUUUUCCUUUUUCUUUACGUCGUCGUUUUCUCGCACCACUUGUCGGUCCGCUCGAAUCCCACCCACUUCCGGGCUGAUUCAUUCGUACCUUCGAUAUUCCUGUAGAAUCCGUAAGCGUGCCUCGAUAAAAGUUUCCAAUCGAGUUCCUUUGCAGUCGUUAAGAGACAAUUCCUUCCUCUCGUUUCUCUAAUUCGAACAAGCCUUAGCCACCGACAUUCUUCGACGACUCUUAUCGCGGCUAUACGUUUCUCUUUCGAUUAUACUUCCGUCGUCUAUCUUUUCCUUCCUCGGUUUGAUCCUUGAUACAUCGCGUCGUCGAUAAGGAUUUUUCGCUGAAAUCUAUUCUUAAAUGGAGUUUCCUUUCACGGGUUAUCGCCUGGCGUACUAGUACGGUUUUUUAGGUAGACAAUUCUGAAAAUAUUUUGAAAGAUGAGAAAGGACAGGUUGAAGAUGAAUGUUGAAGUAUUACGGAUAGAUAAUAAUCUGGUAUACAAUAGUUUGGUAUAUGAGUAUUAUUAUGUCGUAUGAAGCGUGAUUUCUGAGGGAGGCAACUUGGAAAACAUUUUUAAAGAUGAGAAAGGAUAGAUCAAAGGUGAAAGCUGAAAGUAUUAUGGAUAGGUUAUUGUGUGGAAUACAAAUGGUUGUCGUGUUAUACGAAGUACGAAUUUCGAGGGGGUAAAUUUUGAAAGUAUUUUUCAGAAUGGAUAGAUCGAAAGAUGAGGUAUUAAAGAUAUUAAAACUAUGAAACGAAGAUUGUUCGACCGUUCGCGGAGAGAUGUGUUCGCGAUAGAUAGCGUCAACGGAAGUCGUAAUUUCCAUUACGAUUAAUUAAUCGACGCCACGAAAUGAUCGAUCCCUAUUUCGUUUAGGAUAAUAAAGGUGGUUGAACUGAUUAUAAUACUGAGCCAGAAUACAAGUUAAGACGAGAUACAGUGGGUACAGUGACGGAUCAGAGAGCAAACAGAAAAUUAACUAGAAACUCCUUUUUUGUGACGAAGGUAUUUAUACUGAACCGGGGAUGGUCUUUGGUCGCCUCACUAUAGGUUAUUUACGAGUAGAAAUCCUGGGAAAAAUGGGAAGACGUUUCCCCAUUUUUCAUUGGCUGGAACAAUAGCCCUAAGGAAUGUCUCGAUGUGACCUCUAUGUUGCAGCAAUUAAUGGCCUUGAAAUUAAAGUAAAAAGGACGAUAUUUAAUUUGCGACCAUGCCUCAGGAUUAUUGCAGUCCGACCUAUGAUGUUUGUACCGCUUGUAUAUUCGUCCAGUCGCGGGGAGACGCGAUCGCGUUGAGGCGCGUCAACGGGAGUCGUAAAUUCCCGUUACGAUUAUACGAAUCGACACCGCGAGCAGGGCGGUAGAGUUGACUAUCCGAGUUAUGUUAGAGCAAAGUACUUGACUUUUCGAAGAGUGUAAGAGCAGUAUACUUGACUGUCCGAGGAGUAGAAGAGCAGUAUACUUGACUGUCCGAGGAGUAGAAGAACAGUGACUUGACUCUCCGAGGAGUAAAAGAACAGUGACUUGACUCUCCGAGGAGUAGAAGAGCAGUGAUUGACCCAUCUCGUACUAUUUAGGAGGAAAGUUCGAUGUGAGUGUACCCUUUCUGAACUAAGGACGCGGAUUCGUUGUUUACACUUUUCUCCGUAAUUAGCAAGAGUGUGCAAUGAACCCAAGGACCGUUCAAAGGACCAUCCGUAAACCGAAAAUACUUGUGGGAAUAGAAGUUAAGCUGGAAAGAUUCGGUUUAUGGUGGUUUCUUGUGUUUCUUGCAGGUUAGUGUAACGAGGGGUAGGCCUUGGCGGCCAGAUCGAAAGGAACGUCGCACGGAUCAUCUCGCGCGACGUAACACCGUUAGUGGUCCGACCGAGGGACGGAAUUCAGCCCGUAACAGAUAACGAGACUUAACAGACAUUGUUAAGAAAAUUCGAAUUUUACAUAAGAAAAACUCAGUAGAACUCUCAAUCGCUAUCGAUUUCAUAAUUUUAUUGUAUGGGCAUGUAAUAUUUUCAUUCGGAUAUCGAAAAUUCUGUCACGUAGUAAACACGUGACAUCUUCAAUUUGUUUGCUCGAGUGCAUCGAAAUUUCAUUUGUUGUUUUCUACUCCAUUUUAUAAGGAACAUUUUUAUCAUACUUCGUUCGAGGAUAAAGUAUUUGAUGAUAUCGUUCGAUUUAUUGUUUCUGUUUCAUACCAGCGCUCAACUACGUAGGAAGACAACACCUGCAAAUCAACUACACGCAACAUAUUCACCGUUGUUUAACAUAUACAGAAACUUAUUUUUCCUCAUUUUUCUAUUUAUUACUCUUUUUCGUAGCUUCGUAAAUUAUAUUUACAAACUAAAGCUGUCGAAAAUUGUGAAUAUCAUGUUGAUUUCAUCUAACUAUAAUGGAAAAGUGCAUAUUUAAUACAUCGUAUUACUGGAGAUCAAGAUUUACUUUGCGAUCUUUGCGUUCUUCUACUUCCGUGAAUUUCGAGGGCGGAUAUUAGAUUCGUAGUAUAGUACACAUAGCGGAGUGACCAACGAAGAGUCUAUUUACAGAAUGGCAAGAGUAAUCAGAUUAUUUCUGAUCUGAAAAAUACGACAGACUGGAUUCAUGAUUGAAAUUUUCUACUUCGAAUCGUUCGAUUAUUCGUUUUGUAUUAUCGAUUACUUUUAUUUAUUAAUUGCUGCGUAUUGACACCUGUGUAGUCCAGUUUUAUUGCUUUUCUCUGGCUAUUUUAUAAUUUAAGAAAUGCAGUCAACUGUUAUGAACGCUGGUCAUUUAUGUCGGUAUGAAUUGAUUAAUCGUGAUACAUUAAAAUUUUUAUGAAAAAGAUUAAAUUUUUGGAUUGAAGCAGUCGAAAAUCGUAUAGUAUUAUCAUACAUUAUUUUUCUCAUAAUAAUAAAACCUUUUAUAAUAAUAAUGUCCUUUUUUGUAAUUAUAUUACUAAUAUCUUUAUUUGGUUUUCGCUCCGAGGUAACAUUAAAGUGAAAUUACAGUGCCACGAUUUCUUUAAUCAUAAAAGAUAUAACUUAGAAAACACAAAGUUGGCACCCCGCUGGGGGUAGUCACCCACAUGCUAUAUUUAUUUUUAUUUUAUCUUUUUUAUUACCAAUGAGAUAUAACACUUUACCAAAUGUCCUUCAGGACAAAUUGUAAAAACCAAAAUAAACUAUAUAAAAAAAAAAAACGAUUUCUUUAGAACAAUCGAAAUUCAUAUUAUAAAGUAGCGUAAGAAAGUUGAUUAAAUGUACCGAUUUAAUGUAAUAAAUUAAUUACGACACGCGAUACAUGUAUAUAAAUAAAAAAAAAGUUCACUCGUCCGCAUGUAUUUAUAACGAAGAGAAGUAUAUGUUAAAAAAAAUUGUAAAUUUGUAUCGUUAUAAACAGGUAUGAUGGUAAUAUAAAAAGGGAUUGAAAGAAUCCAAAAUAAAGAGCAAAGAUGAAACAAAAGAAAAAAAUAGUAAAAUAAAAUGGCAAGUACGUGAAAUAAAUUCUCCUUUCUAUAGCGAUUUCAGCAACUAUUUUUUUUUUUUUUUUUU